CAAUAGCGUAUAUUUAAGUUGUUGCAGUUAAAAAGCUCGUAGUUGGAUUUCGGGUAGGAUUUGCCGGUCCGUCUUUGAGAUGUGUACUGGUAAGUCCUAUCUUCUUGUCGGGGACCAGCUCCUGGGCUUCACUGUCCGGGACUGGGAGCCGACGAAGUUACUUUGAGUAAAUUAGAGUGUUCAAAGCAAGCCUACGCUCUGAAUAUAUUAGCAUGGAAUAACACGAUAGGACUCUGGCUUAUCUUGUUGGUCUGUGAGACCAGAGUAAUGAUUAAGAGGGACAGUCGGGGACAUUCGUAUUUCGUUGUCAGAGGUGAAAUUCUUGGAUUUACGGAAGACGAACAUCUGCGAAAGCAUUUGCCAAGGAUGUUUUCAUUGA
rnacentral:rRNA from 1 species